UACAGAGGGUGCGAGCGUUGUUCGGAAUUAUUGGGCGUAAAGCGCGUGUAGGCGGUGAUGCAUGUCGGGUGUGAAAGCCCUCGGCUCAACCGGGGAAGUGCGCCCGAAACUGCAUCGCUGGAGUGCCGGAGAGGGUGGCGGAAUUCCCGGUGUAGAGGUGAAAUUCGUAGAUAUCGGGAGGAACACCAGUGGCGAAGGCGGCCACCUGGACGGACACUGACGCUGAGACGCGAAAGCGUGGGGAUCAAACAGG
rnacentral:rRNA from 1 species